ensembl:antisense Gm26911 predicted gene, 26911
GUGACCCAGCUGCUUCAAACACAUCGCAAGACCAUCAACAGCUAUUUAGACUCUCAAAAUCGAGCACCGGAGAGCUGCCGGGAAGCACAUUUCUUAAGAGAGUUAACAGAACAUCUCCGGAGAAGUGGGCAAGGCAGGCGUAGGCGGAACACAAACACACACAGACAUUCCCGAUUCCUGCCCCAGGAGGGAUGCCGCCAGCUUUCUCCUUGGAAGCCCAGCCUGUUCUGCACAUUCUCCUUUGAGCUAUCUGCUCAGGAAUGCACACGUGCUUCCUGGUGGACUGAAUGCAUAUCUUUGGGAGUCUUCUUCCAGACUGUGAGUGACUCCACGGGGCAAGAACCACUGGUCCGUGCUGAUAUUCCCAUGUGCAGACAGAAAGGUGAGGGAACGACUCACAAUGACUUAGAGCUAGAACCAGAAGUAACCUCAACAGAUCCAGCAGCAGAUCUGGGACCCUUUAAUGCUUACAAGAAACGGCAGGCCUGUAAGAAAUGGCCACUCUGUGAUGCCCAUGUUUAGGGAGCUACACAUCAGAUGUAGGGAGUCAGGGACUCACCAACCUGCUACCUACAGUAAUCUAUUUUUGCCUAUUGAAGCUCUCGGGAUCCAGGUAUAACAAUUUCUGUUUUUCUCAUUUAUACCACAUAUAUUUUGCUUUAAAUAUGACACCCACCCUUAGUGUUCUGCUAAGGUAGAAGAUAUAACAGUUUAGGCCAUGAUAGUCUGCCUUUCUCUAGCGUCAAGCAAAUAAAACGUAAAAC